AGUGGGAGAGGUUCGGGCUGAGCCGCUGCCCGGGAGCGCCCAGCUCGGAUGCUCUCCCCGCCCUAGAAGCCGUAUCGCACGUGGAGCACAGCCGCGCACGGAGCGCCGGCCGUCACUGGGUGCCGUCAGCCCUUUGUCUUCUCCAGAAACAGCAGCUCAGGCUGCUGUCCCCGAGCCGAGAGCACGCCUGAGCUGUGCCCACAAGCACCGGCUGCUGUGUCCGAGCCGUGCCUGUGCCCGAGCCUUGCACAGCCCUGCAGAGACCCGCACAGAGCAGCGGCAGUGGGCGGACCCGGGGCUCUCCGCCUCAUGCAUCAGAGGUGGAGUGACCCUAAGACCCAUGUCUACCAGCAGUGGAGAAAGAAGCCCAGGAUGAGCCUAGAAGUAUAGGAACUACAGCUUUGAACCUGGAGGACAAUCCAGAAGUGAGAAUAAGGAGCAGUACUCUCAAUUCCAGCCUGUUAAUUUCCACAAGCUACCAGAAGCCGCAAGGAACAAAGAGAGAAAAAAACACCAAGGAACUUUAUCCUUCUACCAGCAUUUUUGCAAGGCAAUGGCACCCUUGAGACUUUUAUAUUGUUGCUCAAAAGGGAUUUUAAGCACUGCACUGCAGUGCCAGUUUGCUGGGAAAUUGCCUUAUAACAUCUAGAUCAGUAGAAGCUUGUCCUCUUGUAUCUUAGCUUGUGACUUAAGUAGCAAUUGAAAGAUGCCACUUGCACCAGUUUCUUUCUGACUUUAAGAAACAGCCUAAAACAACCUACAAAAAAAAUAGCACCAAUCCUUCCUGGAAUGGAGAAAAGGGACUGCAGUCCAUAGUGAAAUUGUAAAAUUGGUGUUUAUGAAUCAAAAAAAUUGAAAAUGGACUCUUUCAAAAGUAUAGCAAUGAGUUAUCAAUUUUCUUUGAAUCAGAUGGUUCCAAUAAUGAAAUAAUAUUGCAUUUUCCCAACCAAACAGUCAAAUCUGUGUUGUGAUAGCAGACUCAAAUAUAAGCAUAGUCCAAGGGGAAUGUUGACUAUUGCCCAAACUACAUCUUUGAUAAGUUGGACUAUCAGAGCACAAAAAACACUUCCAGGUAAUUGUCCCACAGACACCAAGCAGCAGCCAAAAGCUUUUGAUAUCAAAUAAGUGUAGUAGGCAGACUGCUUGACCACCACCUUCUCAGUGCACUCUUGGGCCAACUGGUUGGGAACUGAGACAUUUGGUACAAAAUACAAGCUUUUGAAUGGACCACUAUCUGAACUAAGUUCAAUCUCAGCUAUGCAAGGAAUAAAAGUGGGAAGUGGAGUUUCCCA
rnacentral:lncRNA from 1 species